AGCUCAGUGGUAGAGCACUUGUCUAGCACAUAGGAGGCCCUGGGUUCUACUCCCAG
rnacentral:tRNA from 1 species